rnacentral:rRNA from 1 species
UAAAGGUGAAACCUGCCCAGUGACAAUACGUUCAACGGCCGCGGUAUCCUAACCGUGCAAAGGUAGCGCAAUCAAUUGUCCCAUAAAUCGGGACCUGUAUGAAUGGCUUAACGAGGUCUUAGCUGUCUCCUACAGAUAAUCAGUGAAAUUGAUCUUCCCGUGCAAAAGCAGGAAUAACUUCAUAAGACAAGAAGACCCUGUGGAACUUUAAAAUCUGCUACCACCUCCAUAAACAAUAACCCUCCACAGGACUCACUCCCCUAGGAUCUUAUUGGUAUGCAUUUUUUGGUUGGGGCGACCUUGGAGAUAAACUCAACCUCCAAAAACAAGACAACCCAUCUUGACCAAGAACUACUCAUCAAUGUACUAAUAGUAACCAGACCCAAUACAAUUGAUUAAUGAACCUAGCUACCCCAGGGAUAACAGCGCAAUCUCCUUCAAGAGCCCACAUCGACAAGGAGGUUUACGACCUCGAUGUUGGAUCAGGACAUCCUAGUGGUGCAACCGCUACCAAGGGUUCGUUUGUUCAACGAUUAA